GGACAGAUGCCCGAGUGGCUAAAGGGGACGGACUGUAAAUCCGUUGAUUAACAUCUUCGAAGGUUCGAAUCCUUCUCUGUCCACCA
rnacentral:tRNA from 1 species